CCCACUUCCAGGACCGGAGAACCAACACAGCACAGUGGAGGGCAAAAGAGUUCCACAGCCUGUGUCUCCAAAGCCAAGCCCUCCUCCUACACUUCCUAAACCAAUCAAAAUGAAGCCCUUACCAACACACACACUUACCCCACCCAGUUACCUAAACACACACCCACACUCUCCCAUUCUCCCCGAGCAAGUGGAUCAUUCUAUACUCAGUCCAUCAACCCCGACCCCCAAACCAGCAGAAUCUCACACUUUGUCCCCACGACCUUUGACAUCUCCCGCUCAGAGCCCCCAAACCCCCCAAACUCCUUCUACCCCUGGGUGCGGCUCUGCCCCAGUCAAACCCCCGAGAUCUUCCAUGGCAGGGCUGUCAGUGGACAUUCCCAGCCCUUUUGAGGCAGAGCCAGGAGAGGUGGAAAAACACAACGAGGAUGACGAGGAAAAGAGACAAAGGAAAGAGAUAGCAGUGAUUAAGGGGCAAGAGAUGGGAACUUCCAGCGAGGUUCAAAGCUCACAGAGGGAUCAGAGCAGGUGCUGAUGAGGCGGAUGAAAGUGGGUGUGGCCAGACAGAUGCAGAUCGAAGGAGACAUCGAAAGCACAACAGAAGAUUGCAUUGUAACUGCAGAUGAAAUUCGACAGAGGGCGCCAAAUGUCAGCGGAACGGAUGAAGGCAGAAUUCAUGGAGAAGAAGAAAUAAACCAGCUAAGGCUGGACGAGACCAGUGCCUCCUUAGCUGCAGCACUGGAGGUUGUAGAGGAAAGGAUCAUGACCGAAGACAACACAGUCAACAUUCUUGAUGAUAUUGGAAGCAUGUUCGAUGACCUCGCUGACCAGUUGGAUGCCAUGCUGGAUUAAAAAAGAAAAAAGAAAAAAAAAGCACAAAAUAAAUCGUAAACAGAAAAGCACAGCAUCGUCUUCAUCUGAGUGCCUAAUCUGUUUAAAGCCACGCUUCAAUGAAUAAACGAAUAAACACCGAUUUGUUGAGCUUAUCAAGGAUUUUUUUUUAAAAAAAGGACCUACUGGAAGGCAGAGAUCUUGGGUUUAAAACGUUAAAUCCCUGAAACAUCGACGUUUGGUGAAGGUUUUGGAGCCAGGAUGUACGGACUGUUCUCAUGCUGCUUCCAGAGAUAAGCACAAUUAAAUGCUAACAAACUAUUUAAACAUUGUUAAGGUCAAGAAAUGCUAGCAAUGUGUCAGAGUGUGUGUGUGUGUGUGUGUGUGUGUGUGUGUGUGUGUGUGUGUGUGUGUG
ensembl:lncRNA